rnacentral:misc_RNA from 1 species
AACGCACAUUGCGCCCUUUGGUAUUCCAAAGGGCAUGCCUGUUCGAGCGUCAUUUGUACCCUCAAGCUUUGCUUGGUGUUGGGCGUUGUCCCGCCUCCCCGCGGAAGACUCGCCCCAAAUGAAUUGGCAGCCGCACCCCUCCAGCCGCGAGCGCAGCAAAAACGCGCGAGCCGGACUGGCGGGGACGGGCGCUCCACGAGACCUUUUUACAAGUCUUGACCUCGGAUCAGGUAGGGAUACCCGCUGAACUUAA